rnacentral:tRNA from 1 species
GCUUCCAUAGUUCAACGGAUAGAACGAGGGACUCCUAAGCCCUAGACCGAGGUUCAAUUCCUCGUGGAGGCACCA